rnacentral:rRNA from 1 species
AUUGAACGCUGGCGGCAGGCCUAACACAUGCAAGUCGAGCGGAUGAUGGGAGCUUGCUCCUGGAUUCAGCGGCGGACGCGUGAGUAAUGCCUAGGAAUCUGCCUGGUAGUGGGGGACAACGUUUCGAAAGGAACGCUAAUACCGCAUACGUCCUACGGGAGAAAGCAGGGGACCUUCGGGCCUUGCGCUAUCAGAUGAGCCUAGGUCGGAUUAGCUUGUUGGUGAGGUAAUGGCUCACCAAGGCGACGAUCCGUAACUGGUCUGAGAGGAUGAUCAGUCACACUGGAACCGAGACACGGUCCAGACUCCUACGGGAGGCAGCAGUGGGGAAUAUUGGACAAUGGGCGAAAGCCUGAUCCAGCCAUGCCGCGUGUGUGAAGAAGGUCUUCGGAUUGGAAAGCACUUUAAGUUGGGAGGAAGGGUUGUAGAUUAAUACUCUGCAAUUUUGACGUUACCGACAGAAUAAGCACCGGCUAACUCUGUGCCAGCCGCCGCCGUAAUAC